rnacentral:rRNA from 1 species
GACGAACGCUGGCGGCGUGCUUAACACAUGCAAGUCGAACGGAAAGGCCCCUUUGGGGGUACUCGCUCGGCUGACGGGUGAGUAACACGUGAGUAACCUGCCCUUGCCUUCGGGUUGAAUUCCUUCAACUGGGGCUAAUUCCGGCCAGGAAUCCUUUCCGCCUGGAUGGGGUUGGAAAGAUUCGGUGGUUUUGGGUGGAUUGGCUGGCUGUCUGCCUGUUGGUGGGGGGGUGGGUUACCAAGGCUUUCAUGGGUAGCCGGCCUGGAGGGGGGGCCGGCCAAAUUGGGACUGGGGAACGGCCCAGACGCCUACGGGAGGCAGGAGUGGGGAAUAAUGCACAAUGGGCGGGAGCCUGAUGCAGGAACGCCGCGGGGGGGAUGACGGGCUUCGGGGUGGAAACCGCUUUCAGCAGGGGCGAAGCUGGUAGUGACGGUAACUGCAGAAGAAGCACCGGCUAACUACGUG